rnacentral:tRNA from 1 species
UCCGUUAUCGUCCAGCGGUUAGGAUAUCUGGCUUUCACCCAGGAGACCCGGAUUCGAUUCCCGGUAACGGAA